ensembl:snoRNA
UGCAGCUGUGUCAAAUUCUGUGCCUGUCCUAAUGAUGGCAAGCACUGGCCCAGAAGGCUGCCAUAGAGAUUCCGUGACCUCUGAGCCCUGUUCUUGAUGCUAGGUUCAGGGAUAAAUUAGUCACAGACACCA